GGCUGUAUGAUGGAGAUGUAGGGCUAUAGGAGGGUGAGGUUGGGCUGUAAGAAGGAGAUGUCGGACUGUAUGAUGGCGAUGUUGGGCUGUAUGAUGGAGACGUGGGGCUGUAUGCAGGUGAAGUUGGGCUAUAUGCCGGUGAAGUAGGGCUGUAGCUUGGUGAAGUUGGACUAUAACUUGGUGAAGUAGGACUGUAACUUGGAGACGUAGGGCUGUAGCUUGGAGACGUAGGGCUGUAGCUUGGAGAGGUAGGGCUAUAGCUCGGUGAGGUUGGAGAAUAAGAGGGACUUGUAGGUGAGUAGGCUGGACUUGUUGGGCUGUAACCUGGUGAACUAGGACUGUAAGUAGGUGAUGUGGGGCUGUAACCAGGCGAGGUAGGACUGUAGCCAGGAGAUGUAGGGCUGUAACCAGGCGAGGUAGGACUGUAGCCAGGAGAUGAAGGACUGUAGCCAGGAGAUGAUGGGCUGUAACCAGGGGAUGACGUGGGAGAGAAUGCCAUCCCACCAACAUAAGGUGAGAACUGAGCAUCCGAAAUGGGAGAGAGACGGAGAUUUGGGCUCAGCAAGUAACUUGGAGACAUCAUGCCUUCAUGAUAUGGAGUUCCUGAUACUGGAGAUCGA
rnacentral:lncRNA from 1 species